rnacentral:rRNA from 1 species
ACGGGUGCGUAACGCGUGGGAAUCUGCCCUUGGGUUCGGAAUAACAGUUAGAAAUGACUGCUAAUACCGGAUGAUGUCUUCGGACCAAAGAUUUAUCGCCCAAGGAUGAGCCCGCGUAAGAUUAGCUAGUUGGUGGGGUAAUGGCCCACCAAGGCGACGAUCUUUAGCUGGUCUGAGAGGAUGAUCAGCCACACUGGGACUGAGACACGGCCCAGACUCCUACGGGAGGCAGCAGUGGGGAAUAUUGGACAAUGGGCGAAAGCCUGAUCCAGCAAUGCCGCGUGAGUGAUGAAGGCCUUAGGGUUGUAAAGCUCCUUUACCAGGGAUGAUAAUGACAGUACCUGGAGAAUAAGCUCCGGCUAACUCCGUGCCAGCAGCCGCGGUAAUACGGAGGGAGCUAGCGUUGUUCGGAAUUACUGGGCGUAAAGCGUACGUAGGCGGUUACUCAAGUCAGAGGUGAAAGCCCGGGGCUCAACCCCGGAACUGCCUUUGAAACUAGGUAGCUAGAGUCUUGGAGAGGUUAGUGGAAUUCCGAGUGUAGAGGUGAAAUUCGUAGA